rnacentral:lncRNA from 1 species
GAAUUUGAUAUAAUAUUAUAGUUGUGGGUAAUAUUUAUAAAUUUUGCAAAGUACGCAAGUUGUUUUAUAAUAUUCGAUUGGUCUGGAAAUAUUCGUUUUAACAGGGAAUAUUCGUACAACAGCACAAUCAUUGGUGGACCCCACAAAAGAAUUAUUGUCGGAUUGAGAAAACGACAAAAAUACUUUAUAAAAAUAACGGCGGAAGUUUUAUCAAUAACUGUUGAAACACCCGGUGUUAAAA